rnacentral:rRNA from 1 species
GACGAACGCUGGCGGCGUGGGAUUAGGCAUGCAAGUCGAACGGUAGGAUACCUUCGGGUAUCUGAGAGUGGCGAACGGGUGAGUAACACGUAGGUGAUCUACCCUCAAGAUUGGGACAACCCAGGGAAACUUGGGCUAAUACCGGAUGAAAGCAGCAGUGAUGUUGUUUGAAAGGUGGCGUAAGCUGCCGUUUGGGGAUGAGCCUGCGCUCUAUUAGUUAGUUGGCGGGGUAAAGGCCCACCAAGGCGAUGAUAGAUAGGCGGCCUUAACGGGUGGUCGCCCACACUGGGAUUGAGAUACGGCCCAGACUCCUACGGGAGGCAGCAGUCGAGAAUAGUCUACAAUGGCCGAAAGGCUGAUAGUGCGACGCCGCGUGAACGAAGAAGCCCUUCGGGGUGUAAAGUUCUUUUAUAUGUGAGCAGUGCUUUCUAUGUGAACAGCAUGGGGAGAGAGAUAUUAGCAUAUGAAUAAGCAACGGCUAACUCCGUG